GCCAGGAUGGCCGAGUGGUCUAAGGCAUUCAGGUGGCAGUGUACUCUCGUAGGUGUGGGUUCGAAUUCCACUUCUGACA
rnacentral:tRNA from 1 species